UUUUAAGCUUAGUCAGUAGAGCAUGAAACUUUUAAUCUCAGGGUUGUGGGUUUGAGGCCCACAUUGGGCAAAA